AGAGUUUGAUCCUGGCUCAGGAUGAACGCUAGCGGCAGGCCUAAUACAUGCAAGUCGAACGGUCAGUAGCAAUACUGAUAGUGGCGCACGGGUGCGUAACGCGUAACCAACCUACCUGAAUCUGGGGGAUAGCCCGCCGAAAGGCGGAUUAAUACCGCAUAAAACAACAGAACGGCAUCGUUUAAUUGUUAAAGAUUUAUUGGAUUCAGAUGGGGUUGCGUGCCAUUAGCUAGUUGGGGAGGUAACGGCUCACCAAGGCGACGAUGGCUAGGGGAGCUGAGAGGCUGGUCCCCCACACGGGCACUGAGAUACGGGCCCGACUCCUACGGGAGGCAGCAGUAGGGAAUAUUGGGCAAUGGACGAGAGUCUGACCCAGCCAUGCCGCGUGCAGGAUGAAGGCUUUCUGAGUCGUAAACUGCUUUUGCCAGGGAAGAAAAAGAGGGAUGCGUCCUUCACUGACGGUACCUGGUGAAUAAGCACCGGCUAACUCCGUGCCAGCAGCCGCGGUAAUACGGAGGGUGCAAGCGUUGUCCGGAUUUAUUGGGUUUAAAGGGUGCGUAGGCGGCUCAUUAAGUCUGGGGUGAAAGCCCGUUGCUCAACAACGGAACUGCCCUGGAAACUGGUGAGCUUGAGUACAGACGAGGGUGGCGGAAUGGAUGCUGUAGCGGUGAAAUGCAUAGAUAGCAUCCAGAACCCCGAUUGCGAAGGCAGCUGCCUAGACUGUAACUGACGCUGAGGCACGAAAGCGUGGGGAGCGAACAGGAUUAGAUACCCUGGUAGUCCACGCCGUAAACGAUGGAUACUCGCUGGUGGCGACAGACUGUCACUGGCUUAGCGAAAGCGUUAAGUAUCCCACCUGGGGAGUACGCUCGCAAGAGUGAAACUCAAAAGAAUUGACGG
rnacentral:rRNA from 1 species